AAGCGCUGUGAGGCGUUGAGCUAACCUGUACUAAUUGCCCGUGAGGCUUAACCAUACAACACCCAAAGGGUUUUG
rnacentral:rRNA from 2 species